rnacentral:rRNA from 1 species
GACCGUCUCAGUUCGGAUUGCAGGCUGCAACUCGCCUGCAUGAAGCUGGAAUUGCUAGUAAUCGCGGAUCAGCAUGCCGCGGUGAAUACGUUCCCGGGCCUUGUACACACCGCCCGUCACACCAUGAGAGUCGGGAACACCCGAAGUCCGUAGUCUAACCGCAAGGAGGGCGCGGCCGAAGGUGGGUCCGGUAAUUGGGGUGAAGUCGUAACAAGGUACC